rnacentral:rRNA from 2 species
AGGGUCCAGCCUGCCCAGUGACCCAGUUUAACGGCCGCGGUAUCCUAACCGUGCGAAGGUAGCGUAAUCACUUGUUUUCUAAAUAAAGACUAGUAUGAAAGGCAUCACGAGAACUAAACUGUCUCCCUUUUCUAAUCAGUGAACCUAAUCUCCCCGUGAAGAAGCGGGGAUUUUUUAAUAAGACGAGAAGACCCUAUGGAGCUUAAAAUAUCAUAACACCUGACACCCUUACCCCCCCCCCCAAGAUGAUUAUGUAUUUUUGGUUGGGGUGACCGCGGAGAAAAACCCAUCCUCCGCGAUAAAAGAGCCCCCCUCCCCAACAAGCUACAGCUUUAUGUAUUAGAAAACUAACCCAAUGA